rnacentral:rRNA from 1 species
GUGGCCCCAAGUCAGGCGAGGCCACCCGCA